rnacentral:misc_RNA from 1 species
AUUUGAUCUACACAGCAAAUGAAAUUACAUUGCAAUAGGUCAUAAGUCUCAAAUGCUAACAAUAAUCAAAUUGGCAAACACCCACACUUGAAGUAUAGUAUUUCAGUAAUCAAAUAUUUACUUUUUUCACUCUAGCAGAAGAUGUUAUUGGAAGAUCAGGGCAGGUGGUGAUUGAGCUUUAGUGUAUGCUAAGGGCAAGGUGAGAAGCUUCUUAGUCUUUCCAACAUAAGCUCUCUUUGUCAAGUUGUCAUAAUCAUUAUCCUCAAUUGCAUCCAAGAUUUUUCUGUACAACAUUAAGCAUGACCACACCGGCCAACGGCUAGCUUUGUCCAGGUGUGAGGCUCCCUCCUCUGCAAGAUUGUAGUAGUAUCUUGCUCUUGUAAUCUGCUCCUUCAUGAACUCUCUCCAUCCAUCACUCACCUUUCUUGCAAAAACAUCCUUAUCGCAUAAUCCAAACUGUGCAAGCUCAUCUUGUGGAAGAUAAACUCUUCCUCUCAAAGCAUCCUCUCCUACAUCUCUCAGAAUGUUUGUGAGCUGAUUUCCAAUGCCCAUAUGAAGUGCUGAGUUAUAGAUAGUUUGAGCAGAAACACAAGAUUCUGGUGCUAUUCCCAUUACUGGAACAGUUAUUAGACCAACAGUUCCGGCAACAUAGUAGCAGUAAAGAUACAGCUCUUCAAAAUUCUCGUACCGAAAUUUCCUUGUAUCCAUUCUCAUACCUUCAAUCAUGUCUCUGAAAGGCUUAAUGUCUAGAGGGAACUUGAAAACAGUAUCUGUAAGAGCAGCAUCAAGCAUGUCGUAGGGGCGUCCAUCAAAUAUGUCUUCAAGUCUCUCUUCCCAUCUGUCAAGAACAGCAGAGCUCAUGUGGACAGCAAUAGGACCAUCCACCAGUUCAUCUGUUCUCCUACACCAGACAUAAAUUGCCCAUAUGGCUUUCUGUCGCUCUUUUGUCAUUAGCAAAGUUCCUGCAUUAAGACAGAAUAUGACCAUCAAUUUUUGGUCUCAAAGUUUAUGCAGAUCUCUGCAUACAUUGCUAAAAGAAUUUGCAUUCUAAGAUUAUAUAAGAAACCCCGAAAACGUUCAAACCUAGAUAGAAAGUCUUGGCGUAUUCGGCGCAAAUGCUUCUGCACCUUGCAUAGGCUUCAUCAAGAUACGAAGGAUGGAACUCUGGCUUUCUGCAGGCAUCUUGCUGGCCUAAGCAGGUAGAAGCCUGAGAUUGUCUCUCGACAAUUUCGCGUACAUGAAGAUCAGAAUGAGGAAUGCCUUG